AGAAGCUUCCUCUCGCCACACAGCGAGCCCAGCCUGGGGGGUGACACAGCUGAUGCGACACCGGACAGCAAAGCCUCAGAAGAAAGCAGAAAGGACCUGCACGUCCUGCGUGGCUGUCCCUGGGGCAGGACAGGUGGGGCCGCAGCCACUCCUCCGGGACAGGACCAAAGGUGGCUUCAGGUAGGCCCACGCCCCGAGUGACACAGCAAAAUCAGGACGUUCGUAGAAGAAGGCGCAGGAUUAUUUCUUGGCAGCCUGAAAGGAGAAGGACUUAAAACAUCUCCAGAAGCAUCACAGGAGGGCAAGAAGAAGGGGAACCUGAUGAUGUCGACGUGAGGACUGCUGCUGGCCACGGAUGCCGGGACCGAGCCAGCACGUGAAGGCAGAACAGGAGAACACAGGCGCCAGGUCUAAAGCUGACAAGAAUUAAUACUGCAGGCACACAAAGAACGUCUGCACGUGGAGAAGGGCAGCUGAGCAGAGAUGCUCAGAGAAGCAUUAGCACCCCUGCGGACGGACGCACGGCCCGCAGACCACGCCCAUCCAGGGCUCACCCAUUUGCCCCCCGCAUCUCCUCCCGCCCCGGGGCUCUCCCUGCCGCCCCGGGGAGGGAGCCCCUGCAGACAGACACCAGGCAGCACGACCGUCCAGGAGCCGGGAAGGCCCCAGAAAUUCACAUCGCCAGAAUUUGGACGGGGCCGCAGGGGACCUGCAGGUGGCUUGGGUAGAGCUGACGUUCUAACCACAGGAAGCCCUCCAGUCCGUGAACGCAGGGCGUGCCCCCGUUGCCAUGUCUCCUUUCAGCAAGGCUCUGUCCAGACCUUUUAUCUUCCCGGCGUGUUUGCCACAAGCAGACGGAAAUGAAGCUGGUCUCCGUGUUGACGCCGUGGCCUGCGACUCAGCUGACUUCACCUGUCGGUUCUGACAAGUUUUUUCGUGGAAUCUUUAGGAUUUUCUUUUUUUUUUAAUUAUUUAUUUUAAUUGGAUUUUUUUUUUUCAAAUGGAGGUGCUGGGGAUUGAACCCAGGACCCUGUGCCUGCUAAGCACGCGCCCUGCCGCUGGGCUGCACCCUCCCACCUAGGGUUUUCUACAUAUCAGAUCACAUCAUCUGUGAAUAGAGGUCAUGUGGCUUCCUUUCCUGGUUGGAUGCUUCCUGGGCCCACUCUCUGGGACAGCCCACACUGCUCGUUCCACACAGAGAGCCCUCCUUGUCCCGUUUACAAAACUGUGACCCUGCGGAGGAAACGUACAUCCUAACUUUAUUCAGGAAAAAGGCACCUGGCUCCACUGUGAACUUCCCGCCACCACUGACGGCUGUCUGCCACCCCUGGAGCCACGGUCACCCCUGGGUCCUGGUGCUGGGCUGUCCAGCCCCAGGCUUUCCUGCGGGGAGGUCACAGGGCCAUUCUAGAAGUGCGGCCUCCGCAGUGUCCCAUCUCGCCUUCAGACACCACGGUGGGCUGGCAUCUGUGCUCUGAGGCUGCACCUCAGAAACCCCGGACCACCGUGGGGAGAUAGUGGACAAGACUGCGUCCCCAGCUGCAGCCACAGGCUCUGGCUGUGACCUGCGUGCUGAGCUCUCCCUGGCUCCUCUCUGCCCGGUGGAGCCGAGCAUAGCCAAGAGCCUCCUGUCACUGAUCAGGAGAGCUGACCCCGGGCUGGCUGUGGGGCACAGUCCUCCAUCCUCUGUCUUCUGUGUCUGCACUUGCAAAACAGGUCUUUCCAGCUCCAAGUGUUCACGUGGGAAGACUUAAAUACUGCUUCAGUUGAUUUGCUAGGCACAGGACCAUUCAAGCUUAUUAUUUGUUCU